UACGUAGGUGGCAAGCGUUGUCCGGAUUUAUUGGGUUUAAAGGGUGCGUAGGCGGAUUAGUAAGUCAGUGGUGAAAGCCCGUCGCUUAACGGCGGAACUGCCAUUGAUACUGCUAGUCUUGAGUAUGGUUGAGGUGGGCGGAAUGUGUCAUGUAGCGGUGAAAUGCUUAGAUAUGACCCAGAACACCAAUUGCGAAGGCAGCUCGCUAAGCCAUAACUGACGCUGAGGCACGAAAGCGUGGGGAGCAAACAGG
rnacentral:rRNA from 1 species